rnacentral:RNase_P_RNA from 1 species
AGAAGGUUGGGCAGUCGCGGGCACUUUGUGCGUGAGGAAAGUCCGAGCUUCACCGAGCAGGAUAACGGCUAACGGCCGCCGAGGGUGACCUUAGGGAAAGUGCAACAGAGAUAUACCGCCUGCUUUGCAGGUAAGGGUGGAAAGGCGAGGUAAGAGCUCACCGGGGUACGGGAGACCGUACUGCCAUGUAAACCCUAUCCGAAGCAACACCGACCGGGGGUGGGGCAUUGCCCCUGCGCUUGCUCAGCGAUACUCCGAAGGGUGGCUAAAGCUGUGCAGCAAUGUACAGCGUAGACAGAUGAUUGCCUUAAAUGACAGAACUCGGCUUACAGACCUUCUCG